GACGUAGGGCGCGAGCGUUGUCCGGAUUUAUUGGGCGUAAAGAGCUCGUAGGCGGCUUGUCGCGUCGACUGUGAAAUCCCGCGGCUCAACUGCGGGUCUGCAGUCGAUACGGGCAGGCUAGAGUUCGGUAGGGGAGACUGGAAUUCCUGGUGUAGCGGUGAAAUGCGCAGAUAUCAGGAGGAACACCAGCGGCGAAGGCGGCGCUCUGGGCCGGAACUGACGCUGAGGAGCGAAAGCGUGGGUAGCAAACAGG
rnacentral:rRNA from 1 species